GACGAACGCUGGCGGCGUGCCUAAUACAUGCAAGUUGAGCGAUGAAGAUUGGUGCUUGCACCAAUUUGAAGAGCAGCGAACGGGUGAGUAACGCGUGGGGAAUCUGCCUUUGAGCGGGGGACAACAUUUGGAAACGAAUGCCAAUACCGCAUAACAACUUUAAACAUAAGUUUUAAGUUUGAAAGAUGCAAUUGCAUCACUCAAAGAUGAUCCCGCGUUGUAUUAGCUAGUUGGUGAGGUAAAGGCUCACCAAGGCGAUGAUACAUAGCCGACCUGAGAGGGUGAUCGGCCACAUUGGGACUGAGACACGGCCCAAACUCCUACGGGAGGCAGCAGUAGGGAAUCUUCGGCAAUGGACGAAAGUCUGACCGAGCAACGCCGCGUGAGUGAAGAAGGUUUUCGGAUCGUAAAACUCUGUUGGUAGAGAAGAACGUUGGUGAGAGUGGAAAGCUCAUCAAGUGACGGUAACUACCCAGAAAGGGACGGCUAACUACGUG
rnacentral:rRNA from 1 species